GUGCUCACUUUGGCAGCACACAUACUAAAAUUAGAACGAUACACAGAAGAUUAGCAUGGCCCCUGUGCAAGGAUGACAUGCAAAUUUGUGAAGCAUUUCGUAUUUUU
rnacentral:snRNA from 1 species